GUCUUGCUGUCAAAACAAGAGAGCACUGAAAGCUCCUUGGAAACUAUGAAUACUUCCCUGUUUUUGUUUAGCCUUCCUUGGCUGUCUUGCAGCUGAGGAGCAUUUUGGGAGAUCUGUGCCUGCUUUGCAUCCAAAGUUUUACCUGACAAUGACCAAACCAAUGGCAGAUGAGAGAGAGGCAGUAACAGCUGGAGCAGUAUCUUCAGAAUAUUCCACAAACUUGAACAGUGACCAAGUUGGAGAGACUGAUUCAGGAUACCCCUUACUACCUCCAACUCCUAAACACAAAUGCUGUGGUUCUUCCAAGAAGCCACUAACAAGAGGAGACCUUGUGACUGUGCUGCGUCUUCUCCUUUUUCAUCAGGAGAAAGGCAGUAUGAGCAGAUACAGUUGAGUCUUCCUGACCUGCUGCUCUUCCCAAAUAUGUUGUAAUAAGGACCUCAUUCUCAUCCUUUCUCCUUUUGUGGUCCAUGCUUCUUAGCUGAGCAACAGAUCCACUGAGAGCUUCC
rnacentral:lncRNA from 12 species